AUUGAACGCUGGCGGCAGGCUUAACACAUGCAAGUCGAGCGAGCGGCGGACGGGGGAGUAAGGUCUGGGAAACUGCCGGAUGGAGGGGGAGAACUACUGGAAAAGGUAGCUAAUACCGCAUACCAUCAGAUGAGCCCAGAUGGGAUUAGCUAGUAGGUGGGGUAACGGCUCACCUAGGCGACGAUCCCUAGCUGGUCUGAGAGGAUGACCAGCCCCACUGGAACUGAGACCCGCUCCAGACUCCUCCGGGAGGCAGCAGUGGGGAAUAUUGCCCAAUGGGCGCAAGCCUGCUGCAGCCCGGCCGCGUGUGUGAAGAAGGCCUUCGGGUUGUAAAGCACUUUCAGCGGGGCGGCGUUACCCGCAGAAGAAGCCCCGGCUAACUCCGUGCCAGCAGCCGCGGUAAUUC
rnacentral:rRNA from 1 species